CCUCAGCCCUCAGGUUCAUUCAUCUCCUCUGUUUCGUAAACCUUUCCCUUCUCUCGGACUCUCUCCUCCCUUGCUCUUCCUUCGCUGGCGGGGACGACUGGGCGAGCGGCGGCGCCAUUUGUCCUGUCUUCGCCCAGCCCAGCCCUUCGCCGGCGACGAGCGCAUCCUCCAGAGAUGGGUUGGGGAAUAUCCAGGUUGAUUGGACUGAAGGCUGCUGUCCUGCUUUCUGUGGCAUAUUUUUUCCAUGGACUUGGAGCGACCCUUAUCUCAUUUCCUCUCAUAUAUGCAUCCAUGAUUGCAAUGCUAGUCUGCAUAGCUUCCCAUCCAGCGAUUGAUCUUCCUUUACUCCUUGGCAAGGCAUCCGAUGGAAGCUUUCCUUUGUGGUCAUGGAUCAUGUUCUCGCCAUUUCUUCUUUUCAUCCACAUGUUUGUGCUACUACGAAGAUUUGUGAAAAAUGAGCCCCUUUACACUGAGAUUGCAGAUGGAGUGUUUGUUGGAGGAUGGCCUUCUUCAGUUGAACACCUGCCACCAUGUGACCCUGCAGUCAUAGAUUGCACAUGCGAGCUGCCAAAAAGCCCGACUCUAUCUAAUAAUGCAUAUCUGUGCAUUGCUACUUGGGAUACAAGGGCUCCUCAGCCAUCACAGAUUGAGUCUGCGGUGCGAUGGGCUAUGAGAAAGCGAUCGCAGAACAAGGCUAUCUAUGUCCACUGUGCCUAUGGUCAUGGCAGAAGCGUCUGUGUGAUGUGUGCACUUCUUGUUGCACUAGGAUUGGCUGAAGAUUGGAAAGCUGCUGAGCAAAUGAUUCGUGAGAAACGGCCCUCUAUUAGUAUGAACACUCUUCACCGCAAAAGCUUGGAGGAAUGGUCGAAACAUCUGCUCACCUCUUCAAAAAGAAGUGGGGAAUCAGAUGUGAGUUCUGUUAUCCAUUCAGAUUAUAACCGCAAAUGAAAUCUGGAAGAAACAGGAUUGUUCAGUAACUGUGAUAUGUAAGAUGAACUGUACCAUUCUGUAGAUUUGUUUACUGCUUCCAAGUAUAUCCAUUGCUCAUUCUCUAAGUUAUCCUUUUGUGGUAUGUAUGUUGUGUGAACUAUUGUAUAAGUUUUACUACUGUAGUUGUACUGAUGGUUCUUUGAGGAAUAUUUAGUGAGCCUGCUCCUUAUUGAAUGCUUGCCAGACAAGUGCUGUUGUCGAACCCUUUUCUUCUUCGGGGGGAAAAAUAUCCCUGCUAGGCUGAUGGGGUCUCAUUCAUAGCUAAAUGUGAUAUGUUUCUUUCUUUCAGCAACCUGCAUUCAAUAUCACCGCUAUGUUUUCUUCACUUGAUUGCAAAGAAAGUGUCUAGCUAUUCUUCUCUUUCAGUUUUCCUACGAACUACGAAGUUCUCUUGCGUUUUGGAUGCUCUUGUGGCCUUUUAUACUUUUCACUAUUGCCAGGCCUUUUAAAUCACAAAUUUGCAGUCAAAACAGUGGAAAUUUGUGAGCUGUAUGAUUGGAAUAUUGUUCAUCUGAUGGAAAGUGCUGUGCACGAUGACUAAUUCAAAUGUUCGUGGUAGAUGACAUUCAAAGCGGAGCUGAUUCUGAAUCUUCAAGCCCGUUGAUAGCUGAACGUCGCCCGGGCCAACAUCUACCUCCAUCGCGAGCAGGAAACUGGCGGCGCAGCGGCUGGCAAGCUCCCGCAGCUACCCGAUCUGAUCACUGUUGCAAUGCCUUGGCCCUUGGCAGCCUGGGUUAGCUGGUGUCUUUGUUUAUUGUUGAGCAAUACCAGAUUAUAGCUGAUGACAGCCCGGUUAGCUGGUGUCGUUUAUUGAUGAACACUACCAGAUUAUACCUGAUGAUAGACUAUUGUCUGUCUACCAUAUAUACGUGGUAAGUGGUAUAAUAAUCUCUUAGGCCUGCCUAUCCAUCCUGGAUAAGUUUGGAGACAGUCUACUAAAGAAGUUUUUCAUAACAACUAAAAAA